GAGGGCGUUGUCUGGAGGAGGCUGGCGAGGGUUAUGGAGGAGGUCCUGGCAUUCCCCCUCUCCUCCCACUCCCUCGCUCCCCCCUUGGACUCUCUCCGGAACGGGUCAAUUUCAAAAUGAAAUACGUUACAUACGUAAGCCAGCGGCUGGGAGCAGCUCGCCUGUGACGUCAUCACCGCCCGGGGACUUGCCCGGCUCCGGUGUCUCUUGGUUAAUAUUUACUGUAAUUUCCACUGUUUUCUAAGUAUUUCCACCUGUUUCUAAACUCAAGCGUGUAGGUAGUAGUAGUAGAAGGAGGAAAAUAAGAGAAAUGGAGGAAAAGGAGGAAGAAAUAAGGAGAAAUGAAGGAGGAGUAGGCAAAACAUAUAAAUAGCAAGAAGACAAUGUUUAGCUUAGUUUCCUUUGCUGUAAUAUUUGGUGUUUUUUGGUGCUCUAAAUGCAUUUUUAGUGUAUUUAGGAGUGUUGUGGUGUGUUUUGAGUGUGUCUUAGGAGUGCUUUGGGUGUAUAAUUAUUAGCUGUUAUCAGUGAGUUUUGGGGUGAAGUUUUGAUGUUUAAGAAUGGUUUUAGGUUGUUUUUUAGGUGUAUUUUAGGUUGUUUUUAAGUGUUUUGAGUGUUAUGGAGUGUUUUGAGUGUAUUGUUUUUGGUGUGUUUGGUGGUAAAUUGAAGUGUCUUGAGUUUAUUUUGGGUGUUUUAAGUGUUUUGGGUAAAUUUUGGGUGAGUGUUGGAUAUUUUGGGUGUAUCUGAAUGGUUGUGUGUGGGGGGGGUCGUUUGGGUCUAUAUUUUGUGGUGUUGAUGGGUGUUUUGGAUGUUUUAAGAGUGUUUUGGGUGUGUUUGGUGAGUUUGGGGUGUUGUAGAGUGUUUUGGGUGUGUUUUAAAUGUUUUGUGUGUAUUUUAUAUGUAUCUGAAUGAGUUUUGUGGGUAUAUUGUGGUGUUUUGAGUGUUUUGAAUGUUUUACGUGUAUUUGGGUGUGUUUGGGUGUUUUGUGGGUAUAUUGGUGUGUUGUGGAGUGUUUUGAGUGUGUUUUGGGUGUUUUAAGUGUGUUUUGCAUGUAUUUAGGAGUGUUGUGGGUGUGUUUUAAGUGUCUUAGGGAUGUUUAGGUGACUUUUGGGUGUAUAUCAGCUAUUAUCAGUAUGUUUUGGGAGAAUUUUGGGUGUUUAAGUGUGGUUUAGGAUAUUUUUACGUGUAUUUUACGUGUUUUUGAGUGUUAUGGAUUGUUUUUGAGUGUAUUGUGGAGUGCUUUGGUGUGUUCUGUGGUAUAUUGAGGUGGUAUGAGUGCGUUUUGAGUUUAUUUUAGGUGUUUUAAAUGUUUUGGAUGAGUCUGGCUGUGUGUGGUGUCUUUUCGGCAUAUUUGAGUGUGUGUGGGGUGUUCUGGGUGCGUUUAGGUGUGUUAGGGGUGUAUUCUGUGGUGAUUUGGGUGGUUUGGAUGUUUUAAGAGUGUUUUGAAUGAGUUUUGUGGGUAAUUUUGGGGUGUUUUGAGUGUGUUUUGGAUAUUUCGAGUGUGUUUUGGAGAGUUUUAUGGAUAUUAUGGAGUGUUGAGUGCUUUCGGUGUGUUUUGGAUGUUUAAGCAUGUGUUGGGUGUGUUUGGGUGAGAUUUUUUGUGGGUAUUUUUUUUGUGUUGUCGGAUAUCUUGAGUUUAUUGUUUAGUGUUUUGGUGUGUUUUGGGAGUUUUUUUUGGGGGGGGUAUAUUUUUUCAUUAUUAAUAGGAAAAACACCCUUGAAAAUCCAGCUAAUCAUCUUUAUGGAUCUGACAAACAAUCUUUAGGCGAGAGAGAGAGAGAGAGAGAGAGAGAGAGAGAGAGAGAGAGAGAGAGAGAGAGAGAGAGAGAGAGAGAGAGAGAGUGUGUGUGUGGUUGUGUGGGUUUAUGUAUUUGUUUGUAUAUCUGUAUGUGUGGGUAAGGGGGGGUUGGAGGAGUAGUGACAGGUAGGCCUGGCGAGGGAGGGUGAGAGCCGGUGGCUGCACUGUUUUGGCCAGCGCUGGUCAGUCUUGCCCCACUCACAAUGGUAAUAAGUGUUAAUAUUCCCAGCAACUUCUUCCUGUACCAAGCACCGCCACGCAGCACCAGAGAGCCAUGAGUACGUAAGGAGAGCCCAGUGGGUGCCACCAUCCCCUCAUUCAGUCUUACUGCCUUCACAGCAUCGCCUCUCCUCCUCCCUGUAAUGUCUUGUAAUUGUUUAUUAAUUUUUUUUCGUUAUUUAGGUGUUUUUUGGGGUUAUUUAUUUAAUUUUUAGGUUUUGUUUACAUC